GACGAACGCUGGCGGCGUGCUUAACACAUGCAAGUCGAACGCUGAAGCUCAGCUUUUGUUGGGUGGAUGAGUGGCGAACGGGUGAGUAACACGUGAGUAACCUGCCCCCUUCUUUGGGAUAACGCCCGGAAACGGGUGCUAAUACUGGAUAUUCACUGGUCUUCGCAUGGGGGUUGGUGGAAAGGGUUUUUCUGGUGGGGGAUGGGCUCGCGGCCUAUCAGCUUGUUGGUGGGGUGAUGGCCUACCAAGGCUUUGACGGGUAGCCGGCCUGAGAGGGUGACCGGGCACAUAGGGACUGAGAUACGGCCCAGACUCCUACGGGAGGCAGCAGUGGGGAAUAUUGCACAAUGGGCGCAAGCCUGAUGCCGCGACGCCGCGUGAGGGAUGGAGGCCUUCGGGUUGUGAACCUCUUUCGCUCAUGGUCAAGCCGCAACAAUGGUUGUGGUGAGGGUAGUGGGUAAAGAAGCGCCGGCUAACUACGUG
rnacentral:rRNA from 1 species